AAGCGACAACAGUAUUGAUAAGAAACGGUGUAUUUUUCCCCCCUUUUUUUCUUUUUCUUUGAGUAUCUAUACUCCACUCUUUUUAACCGACAGGAAAAAGCUCUUACAGGCCAGUGAUGACUGGUGACAGGCAAACAGAAAGAUGAUAAUUAUUUAACAGUUGGGUGGUUGGUGAGGAUAAUCAUUUGAAAUUUAACGGCUUUAUUCACACACGUUCACCGGUCUCCCAAUUGCUUCUUCGCCUCGACAGAAAAAAAAGGUUUUGUCUUUAUCACUACGAGCUUCUAUAAAACCUAUCUCUGCCUCUCUCUAAUAUUUUGUACGUGUGAAUAGCCACCUAUCUAUGUUCUGAAAUAAAAUAUUCUGAAAAGUGCCACCCAUUCAACAUUACAGUUUAUCCUCUGCCUAUCAAUCAUUCAAAUGCAUUCAUAAAUCUCUGUCCAACUCCAAACAAAUUCAUUUUGUUUCCCAACUUACGGUUUCGCAACAAGACCUUUUGCGCCAUAACACCGGCUCCUCGGUGGAUAAAAGGGCAGCGCUUGGCCCCUUGAUGCUUCAGUUCAGAUCCGUUCUACGUCGCUUGCUCAUCCGGCACAGUUGGUUAGGAGUUCCAUGAUGACUUUUCGAGGAAUAAGUGUGUGCGUGGUGUUUGUCGCCGUGAUGCUGAUGACGUGCUCUGCCCAGACGAGCACCGAACAGGAAGUUGAAACGGACUCCGUGAAACCCGGUUCCUGUCCUCCUAUCACGGCGUCACAGCUUGAACAGCAGGGCAUCAAGAAUCUGGAGUGCCAGAAGGAUUCGGAUUGUGAUGACACUGACAAAUGCUGCUUGGUUCCUGGUGGGUUAUCUUGCGUUGAGCCAGAGGUCGGAUCGGAUGAGGAGAUGAGGAGAUGAGGAGAUCAUGGUUAACAGACAGUUCCAGAAGAUUCGAUUGUCUCGGAGAUAACCAUGGUUCAGAAUGAGCACACACACAGUGGCCGCAGCCUUGUUUCCAGAAGACUGUGUCGAUUUAUAAAUUGAUUUGCCGUCUGUAAUGGUAGAGAUUGUUGAUCCUUCAGAAUAAAAUUUGAUUAAUCCUG